ensembl:misc_RNA 7SK 7SK RNA
GGUAGCAACCAUGAGGGAAAUAAACUCAGUAGUUAUCCUUGCUUCAGUACCAAAUGUGCAGCGCCCUGUGCUGCAGUCGGAAUGGAAACCUAUAUGCGCUUUCUUGCCAGAACUUGCCAAACAAGCUCUCAAGGUCUAUCUGUAGGACAACAUAGGGUGGUUAAGCUUCUAAGACUACAGACACAUCCAAAUGAAGUGCUGCCUAUGGCAGUCUGGCUUUCUUU